GCUGACCCGUGACAAGCACGACAUGGAAGGAGUAGCCCAUGCAUCCACCGCCCCUCCCAGCCAUCAUCGACACCGAUCCGCCCAUUCCCUUCACCGACGAGGAGAUCGGCAGCGCCGCCCACGAGAAACAUAUGCCCAGCGUACGCGCGAUCGCGGUCGAUCCCGAUCGCGGAUUGGUGCUGCUCAACCUGGUCGGCGCAGAUGCCUCCGUAUCAGCUGUGAUUAUGGAAUUGCUCAGGAGCAAGAGCAACGGCGUCGGCUUCAUGUCAACCCUCUUUGGCAGCCAGCCGACCAAUAUUCCCACGCAGCUCAGCAUCCAGACUGGCAUCCGAUAUACCACGUUCCGCAGCGCGCUCGCCACCCCUGGCGGCUCGCUGAAUGUGAAGAACUGGUGUCUGCUGAUCAGCACUGCCAACAUCGUCGAGAGCCGUCGGCGCUCGCCGAUCAUUCCUUCGCAGCUACUGCCGCCCCCGCCCUCUCCGGCGACCACCGAAACAGCGCCCGCUGUAUCGGCUGACAAGCCACCCGCCACGCCGCCGCCACACUACGUCAUCGGCGCGGCGACCGCCACCACCCCCGACCCGCACGCGCUGCUCGGGCAUCUGCGUGCGAUCGGCGUGGUAAUCGCCGACACCUGGGCCGAGGCGGUGCGCGAUCUCGCGAUCGACGCACAGCUCGUCACGUCGAUGCCUGCUGCUGGUGUGCGGUGCUGGCGCAUCGACGGCGACCUGGUGAAGUGGGUGGAUCUGGUCAGGCACGGCGUCCAGUCCAAACGCUUCGCGAUCCCGGUUCAACCCACCCUUCAGCAGCGCGCGGCAUAAUCCUGCAGCGCUGCCCACACAUCAGUCAUCGCAAGCGACGAAGGACGGAAGACGAUGCGCGUUCGUCUUCCGUCCUUCGUCUUUCGUCUUUCGUCCAUCACACAAGGAGUACACCCAUGGCCUACGGAACGCUGCCCAACAUCGCCAAUGCCGGGCACGAGCCCACGCCCGACGAACGGGCUGAACAAAUCGCCCGCAACCUCUUGAAGCUGCCGCGCAGCCACUUCACCGUGAUCGAUGGUACCUGCGGCGAGGGCAAUCUGCUCGCACCCUUCCAGGGCAACGCCCACGCUGAGCUGAUCGGCAUCGAGAUCAACGGCAAGUGGGCCGAACUGGCCGCCGAGCGGCUGCCCCAGGCGCAGAUCAUCACCGCCGCCGUCGAGCACGUCAGCGUUGCGUCCAACAGCAUCAGCCUGGCGGUGCUCAACCCGCCCUACCUGGUCACCAACGGCGGGCGCAUGGAAUUGCAGGUGUUUCGCCAGCUCUGUGAUGCCGUCCAGCCGCAUGGCGUGAUUACCUGCAUCAUUCCCGCACGCAGCGCCUGGGAUCGGCGCUUCAUCAGUGCCUGGGCACGCCGCUGUUACGACGUGCGCGCCU
rnacentral:misc_RNA from 1 species